CUUCAUUUUUGUAUUAUCUUUUUUUCGUUUUUCUCUCUUUAUUUUUUUGUACAUAUCUGACAUGUAUCGAAAUGAAAGGCGGCAUGUU
rnacentral:ribozyme from 1 species